AUACAAUCAAACACCUCUGAAGCUCUGCCACAUUCAGUGUGAUGGUCUCCAGCGGCUGGGACCGGCUCUGCACAAGUGUCAGCGCUUGGGACUGGGAAACAACUAGCUGGGAGAUUCCGGAGUGAAACCGGUGUCUGUGGCUCUGAGGAACACCGACUGUAAAAUACAGUCUCUGGGGCUGGAAGAUGUCGGUCUCACAGAUUCUGGAGCCAAGCAUUUCGCACCUGCUCUCAGUACAAACUGUUCACUGACGAAGCUGGACCUGAGUGGGAAUAACGUCGGAGAUUCCGGAGUGAAACUGGUGUCUGCGGCUCUGAGGAACACCGACUGUAAAAUACAGACACUGAGGCUGGAACGUGUCGGUCUCACAGAUUUUGGAGCCGAGGAUCUCGUCUCCGCUCUCAGUACAAACCCCUCACUGACGGAGCUGGAGCUGGGAUACAACUCCCUCACGGACUGAUGUGUCCCCGCUCUCUGCCGCCACAUACAGACCCUCCCGAGACUGGAGCAGAUCGAGUGAGUGUUUGUGUUGUUUAAUGGGGAUCCGCGGGCUUCUCCUGUGAUUUUGUUCUGUAAAUGUUGU